UACGAAGGGGGCUAGCGUUGCUCGGAAUCACUGGGUUUAAAGGGUGCGUAGGCGGAAUGAUAAGUCAGUGGUGAAAGCCCCGAGCUCAACUUGGGAAUUGCCAUUGAUACUGUUGUUCUUGAGUUCGGUUGAGGUAGGCGGAAUGUUGCAUGUAGCGGUGAAAUGCUUAGAUAUGCAACAGAACACCGAUUGCGAAGGCAGCUUACCAAGCCGACACUGACGCUGAGGCACGAAAGCGUGGGGAUCAAACAGG
rnacentral:rRNA from 1 species